UACCUUAGCUAUACCUCGGAUGUUUUUACGACUUCUCUAUCUUGUUAAGAGGAUGAACUUUUACCCCUUCCAGUAUGAGAUGCAGAGCAGAAUUGGAACAGAGAAUCUUAAGAAUCAGGAUACUAUACUCAAUGUCACUUCUUGGGUCUUGCAUUUUAUUGGUGAUUCACUGAUUGCUGACACCAUUGACAAAAACUGUCUGGUGGGUGCCAAAGUUCUCCAACAGGUUGAUAAGAAGUUUAUUCCGAUUUUGGCGGGCACAACACUUGCUAUAAUUGAUCAGGACUAUUCUGGCCUCUUCAUAGUCCAUUAUGGCCAUUCUUGGUUUCUCAUGAAUUCCUUAUAAUGCAUUUAUUUUAAACAAUUGUUUCUCUUAGGGAUGGUAUGGUUGGACUCAUUAGCAAAUAUAAGUCAGCAUAAACUUCCGCAUAAAUAGUAUAAUAUUUAUUGGCCGCGUUAGAAAAAGUAAUUUCCGUGUAACUAUGUAGCACUCACUUAUCUGCAUUAUAUAGUCAAGGAUUAUGAUCUUUUGUUUGAUUCUAGCAUUUAUCUUCAUUGGACAUUAUGCUAAUUGUAAUGUUCUACAGCGUGCUGCAGAUGAGUGAAUUUGUUCGGAAGAACUGCUUGAGAAGGUAAUGAUUGUCUAAAAACUCAUUGACGUGUUAUUUCAACUUGGAGUCAGUAACAACAUCAACAACAACAUACCAAUGAAAUCCCACAAGUACUUGGAGUCUGGAACUUAUUGAACUAUCAGGUCCUAUCUGGACAAAUGAUGACAACAACCUAUAUUGAUUCCGAGCAAAGAAUUGGCCAUGCCUGAAAUUGGUUACUAAUUACUACACAACUAUGCUGAUCAAAUUCGGAACUGGGGUUGGAUCUGCAACAUUCAUUCACAAGCUUCAAGAUCAUUUACCGGGAACGUAAAUCUGAUUCACAAGCAACCAACAUCUGUCACACUUCUUGCGUCCUAGUUUGAACUUAAACCAGUUUCCACCAAGUAUAUGUUGCUAUAGGCAGGGGGACCUGCUAUGUUAAGGUGGAUGACAAUGGAUCUGGUGUCUCACGAGAUGGACUGGUGCUGAUGGGAGAAAGAUAUGCGACAUCAAAAUACUGCCAUUCAGAUGGUAUGCAUGCUUUCCCAGCAAGCUUUGGCCUUAAAUGUGAGACUCUGAUCUCUACUUCUGAUGUUUCUUUGUUGGAAAUUGUUACAAACUUACGGGAGGCCAAAUGAAUAUCGUAAGGUUUUGAAGGUAUCUGUUGCUAUAGGCAUUUGGACCUGCUAUGUUAAGGUGGAUGACAAUGGAUCUGGUGUCUCACUAGAUGGACUGGUGUUGAUGGAAAAAAAAUGUGCGACAUCAAAAUACAGCCAUUCAGAUGAUAUGCAUGCUUUCUCAGAAAGCUUUGGCUUUAAAGGAGAGGCUCUGAGCUCUAUUUCUAACGUUUCUUUUUUGAAAUUGUUACCAAAACUCAUGGGAGGCCAAAUGGAUAUCGUAGGGUUUUGAAGGACGAAAAGUGGUUGUACCUUGGAAUUGAUGACUGUAGACAAAAUGUUGGUACAAUAGAUAUACCUGUGAAUUAUGAGGUCAAGAAAAAGAGGUGCAGCGCCCGGUGUUGCAAAGCUACACUUCAGCUUCCUUCCCUGCAGCCAAAGAAACUGACUGGAGAGUGCACUCUCAGGAGAGAGAUUUGAUCUUCAAAGAAUAUUCUGUGGGGAAGUGCUUCCGAAUAACGUGAUCUUGAUUCCGGAUUCCUCUGUCAGAUUGAAAGUUCAAGUCGGUCAAUUGAUCGAUCUCUUGCUCAUUGCACAGUUGGUGUAAACUGGAAAUCCAGAAGCUCUGCGCACCCCUUUCAUCCAAUGCCAGAGCUGUAAGGAGACUGCAGCAUUCUGCAAAAGCUAUCUGCUCAGAGCUUCCACAGCAGUCGUCCCAUCAGUUUGAUCAAUCUUCCACCUCAAGUUUUGGUGACGGUGUAUUCUCUGAUGAAAGGUAAAGUGUGAAAAUGAAACUCGUUAACAUCUGGAAUAGCAAGUUACAAGCUCUGGGGAGUGCACAAGUAAUCACGAUGGGGAGUCAAAAGAAGAAUUUGCACCAACAAAAACAAGUUUCUUAGAUUCUGGGACAAAAUGGAGGGACUUCCGUCCAGAGAUUACAGUUGAGUACCUUAGCUAUGUGUCGGAUGUUUUUGUGACUUCUUCUCUAUUAUGUUAAGAUAAUGGACUUUUACCUUUUCCAAUAUGAGAUGUAGAGCGGUACUGGAACAAAGAAUCUUUAGAAUCAGGAAUACUCAAUGUUACUUCUGGCGUCUUGCAUUUUGUUGGUGAUUCAUUAGUUCCUGAUACCAUUGAUAAAAACUGCCUGGAGGGUGCCAAAGGUCUCCAAGGUUGAUAAGAAGUUUAUUCCGAUUGUGGCGAACACAGCACUUGCUAUUGAGCAGGUCUAUUCUGGCCUUUGCGUAGUCCAUUAUGGCCAUUUUUGGUUUCUCAUGAAUUUCCGUAUUAUGGA